AUUGAACGCUGGCGGCAUGCCUUACACAUGCAAGUCGAACGGUAACAGGUUAAGCUGACGAGUGGCGAACGGGUGAGUAAUACAUCGGAACGUGCCCAGUAGUGGGGGAUAGCCCGGCGAAAGCCGGAUUAAUACCGCAUACGACCUAAGGGGGAAAGGGGGGGAUCGCAAGACCUCUCGCUAUUGGAGCGGCCGAUGUCAGAUUAGCUAGUUGGUGGGGUAAAAGCUCACCAAGGCGACGAUCUGUAGCUGGUCUGAGAGGACGACCAGCCACACUGGGACUGAGACACGGCCCAGACUCCUACGGGAGGCAGCAGUGGGGAAUUUUGGACAAUGGGCGCAAGCCUGAUCCAGCCAUGCCGCGUGCGGGAAGAAGGCCUUCGGGUUGUAAACCGCUUUUGUCAGGGAAGAAAUCCUUUGGGUUAAUACCUCGGGGGGAUGACGGUACCUGAAGAAUAAGCACCGGCUAACUACGUG
rnacentral:rRNA from 1 species